AAACUUGGCAGAAAUGGCAAGCCUCCCCACCUGACUUGAAGGAGAAAGUAUUUGUUAUGAUUGUAGACCCCUUAACUACCUUGGAGCUUAUGGCCUGUGGGACAAGUCAAGACCGGAUGGUCAUAUCAGGUCAACUGAUGUGGAGAUAAAGGGCCAAGUUUAUACUAGAUCGGUAGCCCGUCUGGUCAUCCUGCUGGCCUUACCAAAGGACGGACUUAAUGAUUACAACCCUGAUUAGUUGAGUCGCAUUUCAUGAAAGCAAAGAUGCUCUGCAUCUUUGGGGGAAGCUGUAUUAAAGGCUCCAUCAAGAAGGACUUUUAUUUUGAAACCACAGUCGAAGUAAUAUUCUAGUAGCGAGCAACACAGUUAGUUGAGCUGCUGCUAUCUGCUGUGUCACUGUUAUCUGUUUGAGCCGCCAGCUGAAAGAAUGUUAAUUCCAGUUUGUUUGUGGUGAUUGCUGCAGAUGUACCAUCAAGGUGUUAGUCACUGACCUCAAAACUAUGAACAUCUUUGAAUAUACAUCUGUGGCCCAUCCCUCUGCCUCCAAUACACAGUGUUAAGCUGAUUACCUGUCUCCUCAUUAUUUGUGCUCUGACGACACCCAGGAGAGCGCAAGCCUCUCCAACAAUACUCGCUCUUGGAGCUGAGUCUGGACCCCCCGGAGGAGCUUUCCUCUGACAAGCCCCCCCUCCCGCUGUACUCCCCACUCUCUGUUGCUGCUGCCGCGGCAACCUGCCAGCCAAUCACAGCACAAGCACCGUUGUUAG